AAUGAACGCUGGCGGCAGGCCUAACACAUGCAAGUCGAGCGGAGCGGCGGACGGGGGAGUAAGGCCUAGGAAUCUGCAUGGUAGUGGGGGAUAAAGCCCGGAAACGGGCGCUAAUACCGCAUACUAGCAGAUGAGCUUAGGUCGUAUUAGCUAGUUGGUGGGGUAAAGGCCUACCAAGGCGACGAUCCGUAACGGGUCUGAGAGGAUGAUCAGUCACACUGGAACUGAGACACGGUCCAGACUCCUACGGGAGGCAGCAGUAGGGAAUAUUGGGCAAUGGACGAAAGCCUGAUCCAGCCAUGCCGCGUGUGUGAAGAAGGUCUUCGGAUUGUAAAGCACUUUUAGUUGGGAGGCGUUACCUACAGAAUAAGCACCGGCUAACUUCGUGCCAGCCGCCGCGGUAAUUC
rnacentral:rRNA from 1 species